GGCGCUGUCUGGUCGUGGCUUUUUCAGAGUGUUACAGAGGAGGAGGGCCUGCCUCUUGCCAAGGUGACCCCAGCAAGCAGCGAAUGCGGUGACCCCGGCAACAAGCAAAAGUGGUACAUAUUCUGGAGUCAGCCUCUUCCUGAG